rnacentral:rRNA from 1 species
GAUUCGUCACACUAUCAUUAACUGAAUCCAUAGGUUAAUGAGGCGAACCGGGGGAACUGAAACAUCUAAGUACCCCGAGGAAAAGAAAUCAACCGAGAUUCCCCCAGUAGCGGCGAGCGAACGGGGAGGAGCCCAGAGCCUGAAUCAGCAUGUGUGUUAGUGGAAGCGUCUGGAAAGGCGCGCGAUACAGGGUGACAGCCCCGUACACAAAAGCGCAUGUGCUGUGAGCUCGAUGAGUAGGGCGGGACACGUGGUAUCCUGUCUGAAUAUGGGGGGACCAUCCUCCAAGGCUAAAUACUCCUGACUGACCGAUAGUGAACCAGUACCGUGAGGGAAAGGCGAAAAGAACCCCGGCGAGGGGAGUGAAAAAGAACCUGAAACCGUGUACGUACAAGCAGUGGGAGCCCCACCACCAAAGCAUUCUCUGGUGUUGAAGGCCCUGCAAAG